GACGAACGCUGGCGGCGUGCUUAACACAUGCAAGUCGAACGGAAAGGCCCUGCUUUUGUGGGGUGCUCGAGUGGCGAACGGGUGAGUAACACGUGAGUAACCUGCCCUUGACUUUGGGAUAACUUCAGGAAACUGGGGCUAAUACCGGAUAGGAGCUCCUGCUGCAUGGUGGGGGUUGGAAAGUUUCGGCGGUUGGGGAUGGACUCGCGGCUUAUCAGCUUGUUGGUGGGGUAGUGGCUUACCAAGGCUUUGACGGGUAGCCGGCCUGAGAGGGUGACCGGCCACAUUGGUACUGAGGGACGGACCAGACUCGUACGGGAGGCAGCAGUGGGGAAUAUUGCACAAUGGGCGGAAGCCUGAUGCGGCAACGCCGCGUGCGGGAUGACGGCCUUCGGGUUGUAAACCGCUUUCGCCUGUGACGAAGCGUGAGUGACGGUAAUGGGUAAAGAAGCACCGGCUAACUACGUG
rnacentral:rRNA from 1 species